CCUGGAUUUUACAUAGAAACCAAGGCCAGAAAUAGCACCAAGUCUCCCAGCCUCUAAAAGAUAAAGCAGGGGCGUAGCUGCCGCCUCGCUGAGGCAGCCUUCUGCGCGGACCCCAAGCUGUCACGCGGCCCCUGGCGUGGAUGGCACCGCGGAGGCGGUGUCUCCUUGGAGCGGACCUAAGCACCUUCCUAUGCACUGCAGCGGGUCCAUCUCCUUUGACUCCAGUAACUGAGAAGUAAAUCAGGGUGACCCGUUUGACAUGUAAAGAACACUGAGGCCAGGGAAGCUGAACCCCAGGCGGCGUCUCUCUCAGGUAGAGACAGCAGGUGUUCCCCUCCGCUGGCUCCUAGAAGGGACAAAUGGCCAAGCGCGUUAGGACGGGAAGAGGAAGGCCAGUUCCCAGCGAAGCAGCGCGGGCCGCACCUGGCAGCCCCGACCAGCAGGGACGGCCAGUUCCAGAGCAGAUCACUCCCAGCCCCCGCUUGGGCCCCGCCUGGGCCCCGCCAGUCCCCAGGGCAGAGGGCGGAGGAGUCAUGUGCCGCGGCCGCCGCUGCCAGGUGGCGGGGAGCCAGGCCGGCAGGGCUGUCAUGUCAGGGGAAGGAAGCGGCCCGGCGGGCGGCGGGCCAGGAGAGGCUCCCACUCUGGCCUCCAGACUGCAGCUCCUUUCCUGUCUCCCACUCAUCUCGAGGGUCCCUUCCCUACCUCCUCAGAGGAACGCAGGGCCGGCCAGCAGCAGCUGGAGGCUUCCUCCCUCCUCUUCCCACGCCCCCCUGCCCACCACUAUUUCCCAAGGGAGCGUUUCCAUAGCAGAGUCCAGGCCGGGACACCCGAUUGGGUAGAGCGCUGGAAAAACAAUUUCAGCCUGCGGUUCAAAAGGCUGAACUCAUGACCACAACUGGGGUCUAACCAGAGAUUCCAGGGGGUUAAUCAUUUGUCCAUCUUCAGCACCAACUGGGUAAAAAGUCAGCUAGCCUCUCGGGGGAUAUGACCAUCAACCUCUACUGAGCAAGGGGUAAGCACCUUACACAGAAUGUGUCCACAACCAAACGUGGCAGGCGAACUUCCCCUCAGCUGGCUUUGCCAGGCACAAACCCAGACUGCCCAACCCAAAAUGCCAGCCACCCAAGUGGCAGACUGCUGCGUGAGGGUGAACAUUAAUUCCAGACAGGGAUUCCUGUAUAUUUUCCUUAUAUACAGGAAAUCCUUCUGUUGAUGGUUUUUUAUUCCCUGUGCUCCACCACCACUACUGUUUUACACCCUCAGUUGUUUUGUUUAGUAAGAGAAACUUUGGGCGGCCCUCAGAAUUAUUAUCUCUAGACACUUUCUCAGCAGCUGGCUCAAAUGUUCCAUGUUUGCAUUUCAGGAAAUCACAGACCUUGGAAAUCCCUUCGUUUAACCUUCUUUUACAGAGAUGAAACUAAGGCUAGAAAGGGAAAGUGACUGAAAGUCAGGUUUUACUAGAAGAGGCCAGACUCUCAAUUUUGCUGAUGGUGUCUCCAGUGAUCUUUGCAUCUCUUUAAUAUAAAACACAUCUUCAAAAAAUAGCCAGAUAAAUUGAGGACAUAUACUUGUCUUUUCUUUUUGUUUUUGCACACUGAUUAAUCAGGGUCCUCCUGAGAAAGAGAACCAAUAGGAUGUGUGUGUGUGUGUGUGUGUGUGUGUAUAGAGAGAGAGAGAGAGAGAUUGAUUUAUCAUAAAGAACUGGCUCAUGCCAUUAUGGGGUCUGGCAAGUCCAAAAUCUGUAGGGUCAGCUGACAGGCUGGAGACCCAGGAGAGCAGAUGCAGAAGAUUCCUCUGAAGAUCAGUCUGUUUGUUCUAUUCAGGUUUCAGCUGAUUGGAUGAGGCCCACCCACAUUAUGGUGGGCAAUCUACUCGAAGUCCACUGAUUUAUAUGUUAUCCUCAUCUAAAAA
rnacentral:lncRNA from 1 species